AAUGAACGCUGGCGGCGUGCUUAACACAUGCAAGUCGAGCGAGGCGGAGGGGGCAACUCCUCCAGUCGAGCGGCGGACGGGUGAGUAACACGUGGGCAAUCUGCCCGAAAGUGGGGAAUACCCCAGGGAAACUUGGGCUAAUACCGCAUGACAUUCCGAUCUCGAGAGAGGAUGGAAUCAAAGAGGGGCCGCAAGGUCUCUCGCUUUCGGAGGAGCCCGCGCCCGAUUAGCUAGUUGGCGGGGUAACGGCCCACCAAGGCGACGAUCGGUAGCCGGCCUGAGAGGGUGAUCGGCCACACCGGAACUGAGACACGGUCCGGACUCCUACGGGAGGCAGCAGUGGGGAAUCUUGCGCAAUGGGCGAAAGCCUGACGCAGCAACGCCGCGUGGAGGAUGAAGGUCUUUGGAUUGUAAACUCCUGUCGGCCGGGAAGAAGUUCAUCGGGGUUAAUACCCCCGGUGAUUGACUGUACCGGCAAAGGAAGCCCCGGCUAACUCUGUGCCAGCAGCCGCGGUAAUACAGAGGGGGCAAGCGUUAUUCGGAAUUAUUGGGCGUAAAGGGCGCGUAGGCGGCCUUUCAAGUCUCUCGUGAAAUCCCUCGGCUUAACCGAGGACGUGCGGGAGAUACUGUCAGGCUUGAGUCCGGAAGAGGGUGGGUGGAAUUCCCAGUGUAGCGGUGAAAUGCGUAGAUAUUGGGGAGGAACACCGGUGGGCGAAGGCGGCCACCUGGGCCGGAACUGACGCUGAGGCGCGAAAGCGUGGGUAGCAAACGGGAUUAGAUACCCCGGUAGUCCACGCCGUAAACGAUGGGCACUUGGUUGUCGCGGGUAUCGACCCCUGCGGUGCCGAAGCUAACGCAUUAAGUGCCCCGCCUGGGGGAGUACGGUCGCAAGGCUG
rnacentral:rRNA from 1 species